AGUGAACGCUGGCGGCGUGCUUAACACACGCAAGUCGAACGAGAACGGAUUAUAGCUUGCUAUAAUUGUCAGCUAAGUGGCGCACGGGUGAGUAAUGUAUAGGUAAUAUGCCUCUUACUAAGGGAUAACAAUUGGAAACGAUUGCUAAUACCUUAUAUUCCUUUUUAUCAAAAGAUAAAAAGGGAAAGAUUUAUUGGUAAGAGAUUAGCCUGUAUUGUAUCAGUUAGUUGGUGGGGUAAUGGCCUACCAAGACGAUGACGCAUAACUGGUUUGAGAGGAUGAUCAGUCACACUGGAACUGAGACACGGUCCAGACUCCUACGGGAGGCAGCAGUGGGGAAUAUUGCACAAUGGACGAAAGUCCGAUGCAGCAACGCCGCGUGGAGGAUGACACAUUUCGGUGCGCAAACUCCUUUUAUAUAAGAAGAUAAUGACGGUAUUAUAUGAAUAAGCACCGGCUAACUCCGUGCCAGCCGCCGCAGUAA
rnacentral:rRNA from 1 species